GGGAGCUUGAGCUGAGAUGGACUGGUCUUCAUGGGCGCCCAAGGCGCUGGGUGCAGCUUUCCCCGAGACCCCCAGAUGGAAAGGAGGGAAGGAGGAACCCCACACACUCGCCUUUUGCGAGAAGAUCGGCGCGCACCCCAGAGUGCCCCAAGCCUUUGGAAUCUGCCUGCUGAGCGGAGCGCGCGAGCGUGGUGGACAGGUCCCGAACUUGGCCAGCGGGCUUUCUUGGCAACUUGCUUUGCGCAGUUCUCCAUGGAACCCUGGACCCACUGUGCUCCCGGCGCCUUGCCUUUUUUUUUCUUUUUCUUUCUCUCACUGUCUCUUUUUAAAUUUAUGAACUCGAAAUGAAGCGGAAAGCAGAUAUGCGCGUCAGCAUACUUUGGCGGUUCUUCAUGUGGGGGAUGGUCAGUGGGAGAUGGCACUUCAUAAGAUCUGCUGUGGUCACCCCAGUCAUCAUCCGACGUGUUGCACCAGUUUGUGGCACUUCAUAAGUUCUGCGGUGGUCACCCCAGUCAUCAUCCGACGUGUUGCACCAGUGUGUGUUGCUGUUUGAGCCGUGCUGCCGACCCCUUCCAGGGCAUCUGCCAUGGGCACCUCCUCCAGCCCGUGCACUAAGACUCAAGAGAGUCGAAGAACCAGGGAAUCGUUGUAAUAACAAGCAUUCUGAAUUGCAUCAUACUGUGUACUAGACCUUUUAAAAAUGGAACUGUCGGCUGCGGUUGGAAGGCGCAGGCAGGCGCCCUGGAGAGAAUUCACAGGGAGGCACAGGACAGAACGCUCCCAGGAACGAGGAAGCACCCCCAGAAAGGAGCGCUCUAUGGCCCCCAGGCAGCCGAGGAAACGCGAACGUGAGCCCCGUGACUGCAC
rnacentral:lncRNA from 1 species